GAGUAGCAAAGGUAAGUAGACAAUGGUUGUCCAGUUCUAUCUAGGUUUCGUCCUACAGUCAACAUUCCUCUGAUACCACUUCUGUCACACCCGGGUUUUGGGGCACCAAGACCCGGGCGCGAACAUAAUCACCAGGUGUGCUGGGACCAAGUCUCACACAUAUGAUGAAUCAUGGCACAGGAUUGAAUGUCACAUCUUUACUAUAUAGCAAGAGUUCUAUACAAAAUAAAUAAAUAAUUACAUUAUAAGGAGACAACGGUCCAGCAACCCAUAGUUGACUGGGAGACGACGGCCUAGACCUCUCACGAACUCAUCACAGCAUCCUCCAUGCGCCUCAUCCUGCGGUACCUGUUCUUGACCUGUGGGGGGGGUGUGAGACAGCAAGAGUGAGCUCACAUACGUUCAUCGCUCAACAAGUUGUGGGGAAUAAUGUGCAUGAACUCGCCAAAGGUGGGAGCUCACGUGAAGUGUAAGGCUUACCAAAGAGGAUGGUUAGAGCUGAGCAUUGCUUUUAAAGUUGGUCAAAAUUUUAUUAGCAGUUACUAAGUAUAAGUAAAUACCGACCCAAUUAAGUAGUCGAACAAAAGUAACAACCUCACCUGCGAUGCAAUGCAUAUGACAAAUUGAGUUUAGGUUCCAUAAUUUAAUCAUGUGAGUGUCCGAGCUGCUCAUGACCGUGAGCACGGCUAGUAUACCAGUUUUACACUCUGCAGAGGUUGCGCAUCUUUACCCACAAGUCAUGUUACCCAUCUGCCAAGGGAUCGCGACUUCCCAUACACCUCUACCGAGGAGGCGAGGCAGGGUAACACUACGAGGCCUUUACAAAGUUCCACUAGCUUCAGAAAACCCGCUACAGUUUAUAGGAAGCUCCAAUGCAGGAAUCCCUUGCAGGACCGCCAUCGCAGCAAAAUCCUCCCGAGGGCCUCUCUGCACUGACCACUCCCCUACUGCCCUUGCCCCUUUCGGGUAAGGUAGUCUUCCACUAGCUUUCCUAAUUAGUUAGCCAAGGGCGUCCAUAAACCCUUGUGGUAGCACUGUUUUCCCGGGUGGUUCUCCAUGUUCCAAUUAACAUAAUGAUCUUAUCAUGAACAGUAAAUAACAACUGAUAAUAACAGUGUGAUCAUGAAUAAUGUAUCUCCAUACCCAAAACCACAUAUAGCACUAGCAAGUACUACCCAAAAAGUGCAGGGGUAAUCAAGGUAUAAAGAUAAUCAAACUAGGGUAACCUGUUGGGUCCCAUCAAAAUUAACCUAUGCAGAUCAUUAUGAUUAAUCAGAACAUGACUGGGUAAAAGAAGUGAUCAAGGGCACAACUUGCCUGGGACUUGAGAUUCCAGGUACCAGGAUGAUCUUCAGGUGACUCGUGACCUCACGCUAGUCGUAGCAAUACAAACAGACAUGGUAUAGACAAAAUUAACAUUACACCAAACAUAAGCACAAACUGUAUAAUAAUACUCUACGCGUCAUAACGAGAUCGUAGAAACAAGAACCACUAAAUUCGGAGCUACGGUUACCGAGUUAUAAAUUUCCGAAGAUCCACGUGGUUAAAUAUAGAAUAGACUAAGUGCAACAUUUUAACCUAUUUUUCAUGACAAAACAAAGUUACCAGAUGAUAAUAAAUAUUAUUGUGAGACUAAUGCAACUAGAAUGGAUUAAAACGGAGUUACGAAUAUUGAGUUAUGAAUUUCUGAAAUUAUUUAGCACCUAGAAUAGAUUAAUUUAAUUGAGCAAUCUUAAUUCAAGUUUCAUGGUUAACAAAGGUACUAGGUGGUAAACAAUAUUAAUACAAAAUUAUUGCAACUGAAAUGACUCAAUUUGGAGUUAAAUUCAUCAAGUUAUGAAUUUCCUAAGUUUGGGACAUUAUUUUGCAUUAAAAAGAAUUUCUGUAUUAAAUUUAAUAGAUUUCUGAGUUACUUGGACUGCGGCCACUAUUUAACAGAAACCCAGGGGGUUCUGCGCAAAAGCCACCAAGACUCAGAACUCCCCCAGUGUGGACUGCGGGUUGUUUAUAUGGUUUUACAGGGUCUCUUUAGCAAAUAUUACAUCGCGAAGGGGUACCGGUGAAGAUCGGUCGUCCGAUCACUGAUCAAGGGCCCAUAUUAGAUCGCACAUCCCUGCAAACUGGUACGACUCGGUAUCCUUGGAUCAUAAAUGAACGGCCUAGAUUUUAUGAGGCUUGAUCUGCAUCGGACGGCCGAGAAGGGUUCAGGCCGAACCGAUACCCAAGAUUUAAUCCCUGCCCUACAACUCUGAUCUAACGACCAUCCACACGUCUUCAACCUCCAGACGCACACAAUGGCCGCGCAGGGUGACAGCCGCUGGGCUACCUCGAGGAGGAGCACAGCCAUCAGCUCGCCCCACACGCGGGACAGGCGUCGAGGCAGCAGCGGACGCCUGGCCGUUGCCCAAGGCGAGAGCACACCCAGGUAAAAAAAUAUCGUUGCAUGGACAUAACUACUCCUGACCUUUACGAAUCUCGACGGAGGGGGAGGUACCUGCACGAUUCGGUGGUGGCCAGGCCCAGGCUUUCCCGAAAUGAUGGCGUCGAUGUUGCUACCCACAGUACAAGCAGCGUUUGCGGAGUAGACGAACUCCGGCGAGAUCCUCCAUGGCACAGGUUCGAUCUCCAGAGCCGGCGCCCGGGACCCUGGUGACGGUGUGUCCGAUUCCUUUGGUGGCUGCUUUUAGUUCUCUCUCGGCAAGGGUACGAGCGGUAGAUGGUGAUGGCUGUAUGCCUCAAGUAUUUAUGCACCAGAGGGGGAGAUCGGCUGGUGGUACCUGGCUAGCAUCUUGUGCGGCAUGCAGCGAUUUGGUCGCAAGGUUGUUACGAGGAUAGAGAUGCUACAGCAGAGCCCCACAUGUCCACGAGCCGGUGCCCGCGAGCGUCCUUCCGCCCGACAUGCAUGGCCCUGUACGUGCCGAUAGCAAACGGAUGCAUGCAAGAGAAUUCAACGACCAAUUUGCUAGCGAA
rnacentral:lncRNA from 1 species